AUGAACGCUGGCUGCGUGCCUAAUACCUGCAAGUCGAGCGAACAGACGAGGAGCUUGCUCCUCUGACGUUAGCGGCGGACGGGUGAGUAACACGUGGAUAACCUACCUAUAAGACUGGGAUAACUUCGGGAAACCGGAGCUAAUACCGGAUAAUAUAUUGAACCGCAUGGUUCAAUAGUGAAAGACGGUUUUGCUGUCACUUAUAGAUGGAUCCGCGCCGCAUUAGCUAGUUGGUAAGGUAACGGCUUACCAAGGCAACGAUGCGUAGCCGACCUGAGAGGGUGAUCGGCCACACUGGAACUGAGACACGGUCCAGACUCCUACGGGAGGCAGCAGUAGGGAAUCUUCCGCAAUGGGCGAAAGCCUGACGGAGCAACGCCGCGUGAGUGAUGAAGGUCUUCGGAUCGUAAAACUCUGUUAUUAGGGAAGAACAAAUGUGUAAGUAACUAUGCACGUCUUGACGGUACCUAAUCGGAAAGCCACGGCUAACUACGUG
rnacentral:rRNA from 1 species